GGGCAUUUUGUGUUAAAUGCCUAAUUUUGCCGAAAUGGGGAAUUUUAUUCCAUGAAUGGACCUUAGGUUAAAUUUUAUUAUGUGAUUAAUUAAAUUAAAUGUGAGAGACAUUUAAUUUAAUUAAUUAAUGUUAAGUUUGGUGAUUAAAACUUAAUAAGAGUGAAAAAAGGUGUCAAAAGUCAAUUUGGACUUUUCUUCUUAUAAACCUUUAUUAACCUUUAUAAAAAAUAAAAAAAAUAAUAAUAAAAAAAAAAUUAAUGGUCACAUAUAUGGAAAAGGGUGGCUGGCCAUGUGCUAUUUUAGAGUGGUGUGAACCCAAUUUUAUAAAAUUCAAAUCCCAUUUAAUUAAGAAGUCAAGUGGGCAAGUGGGUAGAAAAUCACUCAAGUGUUUUGUGAUAUUUUGAAGAGUUGGGUGAGCCAUUCUAACCCCCAAAUCCGACCACUCUCCCUCCCUCAUUCACUCUCAUCUGAUUUUUGAAGACUCUCUCAAGUGUUCUCUCCAUUUUCAACCCCAAGAACACCAAAGAAACUUGGAAGCUAAGUCUUGGUCUAGGAAGGGUUUUCCCUAAGGUAAAGUUUCAUUAAUCUAGACUUUUGUCAAGUUUUAAUCAUAGAGUUUCAAAUAGCUAAUUACCUAUGUUGUUGGAGGAAGUUGGUUAGGGUUUUUGAAAGGUUUUGAAGGAGUCAAAGCUUAUAGGAAGGUCCAAACCUUAAGCAAGAACACCAAAGAGUAUUGGCUAAGCGUAACUGGACUGAACGUUGGAGGGUGAAAACCUGCUGAGCGCUAAGGACUCCAAGUAAGAGCAAGGGCAAGGCAGAGCAGUAAGCGCUGGAGUCUUCCUUGCAAAUGUACAUGUGGACCGACCUUUUGGGAAGCCUUUUUAUUUUUGGAAAUGUUGUGUAAUUUUCCUAAACUAGACUCACUCUAAUCUUUAUAAAACAUGUUUGUAACUAAAUGUUAAGUAUGGCCAUACGACUUUUUAAAAAGUUUUUUUUUCUA